rfam:Salmo salar isolate Sally breed double haploid chromosome ssa29, whole genome shotgun sequence.
UACAUUCACUACUGUAAGUCGCUCUGGAUAAGAGCGUCUGCUAACUGACUAAAA